AUUCUUUUAGUAUUAAUUAGUACAGCUGACUUCCAACCAGCUAGUUUCGGUAUAACCCGAAAAAGAAU
rnacentral:tRNA from 1 species